AAGCGCUCAUGACCAGACUUGGGCCUGGUGAAUCAUCCGGCGUUCUCGCCGGUGCACUUUACCGGUCCAGGCCAGCAUCAGUUCGCCUCGGGGGAUAAAGGCUUCGGGAAUGUGGCUCCUCCGGGAGUGUUAUAGCCCGUUGUGCAAUACCCUGUGGCGGACUGAGGUUCGCGCUCCGCAAGGAUGCUGGCGUAAUGGUCAUCAGCGA
rnacentral:rRNA from 1 species